rnacentral:rRNA from 1 species
UACGUAGGGUGCGAGCGUUGUCCGGAAUUAUUGGGCGUAAAGAGCUCGUAGGCGGUGUGUCACGUCGGCCGUGAAAACCUGCAGCUUAACUGUGGGCAUGCGGUCGAUACGGGCAUCACUGGAGUUCGGCAGGGGAGACUGGAAUUACUGGUGUAGCGGUGAAAUGCGCAGAUAUCAGGAGGAACACCGGUGGCGAAGGCGGGUCUCUGGGCCGAUACUGACGCUGAGGAGCGAAAGCGUGGGGAGCAAACAGG